UUUUAAUUUUUUUAAAAGUCUAUUUGUUGAUGUCCACAUUUAGUAAGGGAUGUUAAUAUAAUCAAUGUUAGUCUGUUAGUCAGUUGUACUUGCAUUGUGACAUUGAACAGUUAUAUGUAAAUAGUAUAUAGAGAUGUCUAUCAGCUCCUUUUUUGUUCUGGUUCAUAAGAGCAAAAGUAGCUAUUCACAGUGUGUGAGAAGCCGAACAUCAUAGGGAGGCAAAUCUUUUUCCUUUUUGUGAACAUAUUAAUUACAUAUUUGUAUUGAGUACUUUUUUUUUUUUUUUAUGCUUAAACUACAGGCCUAAUGAAGGGAACAAUAUUUUCCUCUCCUUUUCUCUGUUUAGUGGCUUAUUUUUUAUUUUUAUUUUUUUAUUUUUUUGGACAACUAAGAAAAUAAAUUUCUGCAACUAAAGUAUGAAUUACCUCUCUGAAAAUGGUUAUUCAUAAUUAUGGCUUGAGUAUUUUUAUUAUUUUAUUUUUUUUUUUUUUUAAAGGCUUUAAUACUUUCAGUCGGCAAGCUAUUUAUUUUCCCACAUAGCAUACGUGCGAGGAGGGAAAAAAAUAAAUAAAAAUUUAACACCCCAUAGUAUAUCAGUGGGGAAAUUAAAUUAACAAUACAAAUGAAAGUAUAACCUUCGGCCAAUGAACAUGAACAUAUGAAUGCUUGAAAUUAUUUUAUACAUGAAUGCAAGAAUUGCUUGGCAGGAUAUUCUGUUUAGUGCAUUUUGUUUGACAUGUUCUUAAUGUUUCAGAAUAAAAACUAUUUAUUAAAGCAUUUUAUAACAAUGUUAA